ACGAACGCUGGCGGCGUGCUUAACACAUGCAAGUCGAACGGAAAGGCCCUGCUUUUGUGGGGUGCUCGAGUGGCGAACGGGUGAGUAACACGUGAGUAACCUGCCCUUGACUUUGGGAUAACUUCAGGAAACUGGGGCUAAUACCGGAUAGGAGCUCCUGCUGCAUGGUGGGGGUUGGAAAGUUUCGGCGGUUGGGGAUGGACUCGCGGCUUAUCAGCUUGUUGGUGGGGUAGUGGCUUACCAAGGCUUUGACGGGUAGCCGGCCUGAGAGGGUGGCCGGCCACAUUGGGACUGAGAUACGGCCCAGACUCCUACGGGAGGCAGCAGUGGGGAAUAUUGCACAAUGGGCGGAAGCCUGAUGCAGCAACGCCGCGUGCGGGAUGACGGCCUUCGGGUUGUAAACCGCUUUCGCCUGUGACGAAGCGUGAGUGACGGUAAUGGGUAAAGAAGCACCGGCUAACUACGUG
rnacentral:rRNA from 1 species